rnacentral:rRNA from 1 species
AUGGCUCCGGGGGACACCGGCGUCGAGCAGCCGCGUAAGGCGCAUCGCGUGGCCAAGUCGGGCGCGAAGGUGCGGAAGAAGAAGGGCAAAUGCGCCGCCGGCGACGAUGAAGGGGGCGAGAGGAAGAACCCCAAGGCUUUUGCCUUCCGUUCAGCAACAAAGGCGAAGCGGCUACAAUCUCGGUCAGCAGAAAUUGAACAACGCCGUCUCCAUGUGCCAAUCAUGGAUCGCUCAAUUGGGGAACCACCUCCUUUUGUUGUUGUAGUCCAAGGACCUCCGCAGGUUGGAAAGUCGCUGCUGAUAAAAUGUCUAGUAAAGCACUACACUAAACAGAACUUGUCAGAUGUCCGUGGUCCCAUCACGGUUGUAUCAGGUAAAAGCAGGAGGGUGCAGUUCUUGGAGUGUCCAAGUGAUAUCAAUGGAAUGAUCGAUGCAGCUAAAAUAGCAGAUCUUGCUCUGCUGCUUAUUGAUGGUAGCUAUGGAUUUGAGAUGGAUACAUUCGAGUUCCUUAAUAUCAUGCAAGUGCAUGGAUUCCCCAAGGUAAUGGGAGUGCUUACACAUCUUGAUCAAUUUAAAGAUGUAAAGAAACUCAGGAAAACUAAGCAGCGCCUUAAGCAUCGUUUCUGGGCUGAGAUAAAGGAGGGAGCGAAACUGUUCUACUUAUCUGGUCUCAUUCAUGGAAAAUACACGAAAAGAGAAGUCCAUAAUCUUGCAAGGUUUAUAUCUGUUAUCAAACCCAUCCCUUUGAGUUGGCGAAUGGCACAUCCUUACUUGUUAGCAGAUAGAUUCGAAGAUGUAACUUCGUCAGAAAGUGUGCGCUUGAAUAGGAAAUGUGACAGAAAAAUAACGCUGUAUGGUUACCUUCGUGGAUGUAACAUGAAAAGAGGGACCAAGGUGCAUAUCACAGGAGCAGGUGAUUUCAGCUUGUCUGGUGUAACAAGUUUGGCUGAUCCCUGCCCUUUGCCAUCGGCUGCAAAGAAGCGAGGAUUACGUGACAAGGAGAAGCUGUUCUAUGCCCCAAUGUCUGGUCUUGGGGAUCUCCUGUAUGACAAGGAUGCGGUGUACAUCAACAUCAAUGAUCAUCUUGUUCAGUUUUCAAACACCGAUGACAACAAUGCAUCUAAGAAACAAGGGAAAGGUAAUGAUGUCGGUGUGGCUCUAGUAAAAACUCUUCAGAACACCAAAUACUCCCUUGAUGAGAAGUUAGAUCAGAGUUUUAUAAAUUUCUUCGGCAGACGGCCUGCUGCUCAGUCCGAAGACAGUGACAUGACAGGCAAUGCCAUUUCUUCAAGACAGAAUGACCAGGGAGAAGCUAACAUUUUGGCACAAGUAGGUGGUAAUAACCUUAGUAGUGCAGGCACCCUGGAGAGCAAUGGGCACUCUUCUUCUGAGUGCUCUAGUGAUAGUGAAGGUGACAAUGAUGAUGACAUUCAGCCAAGUGAUCAUGGCGUUGACUUGAGAGAAGAAGUGGAAUUUUGCAAUGGAAGAAUGAGGCGAAAAGCUGUGUCAGCUAAUUUUCAAGAUGACGAUGAUGAUGAUGAUGAUGAUGAUGAUGACGAUGAUGAUGAGGGUUCUGAUAACGAAGAUGAUAGUCAUAAUGAAGAUUCUGACGAUGACCACCUAUCUGAAGGUUCUUUAUCAUCAGAUGGUAGUGGAGAAGCUCUUGAUUCAGAUGAUGGAACUGAAAACACUUCGAAGUGGAAAAAGUCUUUACUUGCCAGAACACUGGCCAGACGGGGUGCCAGUCUAAUGCAACUUGUAUAUGGGCAAGCUUCAGCAGAACUAGACAAUGAUAGUGGCGAAGAAGGUAGCUCUGAUGAAGAAAUUUUUGUACCAAAAGGACAAAAAAAGCAAGUAAAGAACGAAUUACCAAGCUUUGAUGAUAUUGAUGCUGAGGAUUACUCUAAGUUCUUGAAAGUGGAGCUACGUGAUUGGUCUAACGAAGAUCUCAUCAAAAGCAUCCGUGACCGUUUUGUGACUGGAGAUUGGUCAAAAGCUUCUCUGAGAGGACGCGAGGUAGAUGAAAAUGGAGAGGGUGAUGAAGAAAUCGAUGGUGAUUUUGAAGAUCUGGAAACUGGUGAGGUGCACAAGAGCCAGGCUGCUGAAAGUGCAGCUGGGAAGCCAGGUGUUCAGAAAGAAGACGAACUAAAAGUUGAAGAACUAAGACUCAAGAAGCUUGCGCUUAAAGCAAAAUUUGAUUCAGAAUAUGAUGGAUCGGACCUCUCUGGCGAGGAAGUUGAUAACGAGAAGAAGAAAUCGAAAAGAGAGCAACCUGAUGCAGGGGGCUAUUUUGACAAAUUGAAGGAGGAAAUUGAACUCCGCAAGCAAAUGAAUGUAUCUGAACUCAAUGAUCUGGAUGAAGAUACCCGAGUAGAAAUUGAAGGAUUUAGGACUGGUACUUACGUCAGAUUAGAGAUACAUGGUGUGCCGUAUGAGCUAGUUGAGCAUUUUGAUCCUUGCCACCCCAUUCUUGUUGGGGGUAUUGGCCUCGGUGAGGAGAACACUGGAUAUAUGCAGGUUAGCUUGAAGCGCCACAGGUGGCAUAGGAAAGUGUUGAAGACAAAAGACCCAAUUGUUGUCUCUAUUGGUUGGAGACGUUUCCAAACAACGCCUGUAUAUGCAAUAGAGGAUCGAAAUGGCCGGCACCGCAUGCUCAAGUACACACCAGAGCAUAUGCAUUGCUUUGCUAUGUUUUGGGGGCCACUGGCUCCACCAAAAAGCGGUGUACUAGCAGUCCAGAGUCUUUCCAGCAAUAAGGUACCAUUUAGAAUUACUGCAACUGGUUGGGUUCAGGAAUUCAACAAUACUGCUCGAAUUAUGAAGAAGAUCAAGCUCACAGGCGCACCAUGCAAGAUAUUUAAGAAAACCGCCUUAAUUAAAGGGAUGUUCACAUCUGAUUUAGAGGUUGCUAGGUUUGAAGGUGCAGCAAUUCGGACAGUAAGUGGAAUCCGAGGACAAGUUAAGAAGGCAGCAAAGAUCGAACCAGGAGAUGCGUUAAGGAGAAAAGGGGAAAUUACGGAAGGCAUUGCAAGGUGCACAUUUGAGGACAAAGUUCUUAUGAGUGACAUUGUCUUCAUGCGAGCAUGGGUCAACGUUGAAGUUCCCACCUACUGUAAUCUUGUGACCACUUCUCUUCAACCCCGAGAUCAGAUGUGGCAAGGCAUGAGAACCACUGCUGAGUUGCGGAAGGCACACAACAUACCCAUUCCACACAACAAAGACUCGGUUUACAAGGGUAUUGAGCGGAAAGUGCGGAAGUUCAACGCCAUAGAGGUCCCUAGAAAACUGCAACCUUUGCUUCCUUUUAAAUCAAAGCCGAAGGAUAGACCUAAGGGCAAGAAAGGAUCAGCUGUGGACAUGAUACCGGAGAUUAUGAAUAUUGGCGAGAAGAAGAUACAUGGAGCUCUUCAACAGUUGCAUCUGUUAAAGCAUGAAAAGACGAGGAAGGAGAAAAUCAAGCGCGGGCUGCAGAAGAAAGCUCAUGAGGCGCAGAAAGCCAAGACUGAUGAGAUAACGAGGAAGCGGCAGAGGGAAGAUAGGCGUGAGAGAUACAGGGAAGAAGAUAAGAAAAAGAAGCGCGCCCGAAAGUAG